AGCUCAGCUGGCUAGAGCACCUGCCUUGCACGCAGGGGGUCAACGGUUCGAAUCCGUUAUUCUCCACCACACCCUCCGUUUCCUGAAAAGGAUAGGAUAUCAUGCAAGCUACUUAACCGUUUGUUAAGUAUGGGGUAAAGUUCUUUGACAUAUUGGAAGAAGUAAUUGAAACAAGAGAAAACAACAGAAUAGGGACGUUGUUUGGCUGGAAUCAAGAUGACAAGAAACAAGAGACAAGACUUCGGUCCUGGUUCUUGAAUCCUGAAGUCCUGACUCUACGAACGNNNNNNNNNNNNNNNNNNNNNNNNNNNNNNNNNNNNNNNNNNNNNNNNNNNNNNNNNNNNNNNNNNNNNNNNNNNNNNNNNNNNNNNNNNNNNNNNNNNAUCCUGAGUACCGCGAGGUCGGAGACGCCUUGUGGGAAUCUGCCGGCACCAUCCGGUAAGGCUAAAUACUCCUGAGAGACCGAUAGUGAACCAGUACCGUGAGGGAAAGGUGAAAAGAACCCCGAACAGGGGAGUGAAAUAGAACCUGAAACCGUGUACUUACAAGCGGUCGGAGCGGUUAACACCGUGACGGCGUGCCUUUUGCAUAAUGAGCCUACGAGUUACUCUUUCCUGGCAAGGUUAAGUGUUUAAGACACGGAUCCGAAGCGAAAGCGAGUCUGAAUAGGGCGUAUAGUCAGGGGAGGUAGACGCGAAACCUUGUGAUCUACCCAUGGACAGGUUGAAGGUGCCGUAACAGGUACUGGAGGACCGAACCGAUAAACGUUGAAAAGUUUCCGGAUGAUUUGUGGGUAGGGGUGAAAGGCUAAUCAAACUGGGAAAUAGCUCGUACUCCCCGAAAUGUUUUUAGGAACAGCCUGGCGGUUGAGUUAAUAAGAGGUAGAGCUACUAAUUGGGUGCGGGGGAGUCAAAUCCUACCAAAUCCAGAUAAACUCCGAAUGCUUAUUAAUAUACGCUGGAGUGAGGCUCUGGGUGCUAAGGUCCAGGGCCGAGAGGGAAAGAACCCAGACCAUCAGCUAAGGUCCCCAAAUUACUGCUAAGUUGAACUAACGAGGUCCGAUUGCACAGACAGCUAGGAUGUUGGCUUGGAAGCAGCCAUUCAUUUAAAGAGUGCGUAACAGCUCACUAGUCGAGCGAUCGGGCAUGGAUAAUAAACGGGCAUCAAGCAGUAUACCGAAGCUAUGGAUUUGCAGUAAUGCAUCUGGUAGGGGAGCAUUCUAUAUGCCGGCGAAGCAGGAGGGACAACCGACUGUGGAGGAUAUAGAAAAGCAAAUGUAGGCAUAAGUAACGAUAAGGCGGGAGAGAAACCCGCCCACCGAAAGACUAAGGUUUCCUGAUCAACGCUAAUCGGAUCAGGGUUAGUCGGGGCCUAAGGUGAAGCCGAAGGGCGUAGCCGAUGGACAACUGGUUAAUAUUCCAGUACUUUUUAUAACUGCGAUGCGGUGACGGAGUAGUGACACUGACGCGAACUGACGGAAUAGUUCGUUAAAGGCCGUAGGUAUAUGGACUGUAGUUAAGUACGCAGACCAUGCUGAAAGCUGAUAGUACUUGAAACCUUCGGGGGACGAGAUAGUUCAGGUAAUCAGACUUCCAAGAAAACCCGCUAAGCUUCAGGUUAUAAAAACCCGUACCGUAAACCGACACAGGUAGUCGAGGAGAGAAUCCUAAGGUGCUCGAGUGAAUCAUGGCUAAGGAACUCGGCAAAAUGGCCCUGUAACUUCGGGAGAAGGGGCGCUUUCAGCAAUGGAAGCCGCAGUGAAAAGGCCCAGGCGACUGUUUAACAAAAACACAUGGCUAUGCAAAAUCGAAAGAUGACGUAUAUGGCCUGACACCUGCCCGGUGCCGGAAGGUUAAGAGGGGAUGUUAGGAGCAAUUCGAAGCAUUGAAUCGAAGCCCCGGUAAACGGCGGCCGUAACUAUAACGGUCCUAAGGUAGCGAAAUUCCUUGUCGGGUAAGUUCCGACCUGCACGAAUGGUGUAACGAUCUGGGCGCUGUCUCAGCCAUGAGCUCGGUGAAAUUGUGGUAUCGGUGAAGACGCCGGUUACCCGCAACGGGACGGAAAGACCCCAUGCACCUUCACUACAACUUAACAUUGAUAUCGGAUACAGGAUGUGUAGGAUAGGUGGGAGACUGUGAUCAUGCUUCGCUAGGAGUAUGUUAGUCAACGUUGAAAUACCACCCUUUCUGUAUUUGGUGUCUAACCCUGCAUAGCGGGGGACAUUGUUUGGCGGGUAGUUUGACUGGGGUGGUCGCCUCCAAAAAGGUAACGGAGGCUUUCAAAGGUAAGCUCAGUACGCUUGGUAACCGUACGUGGAGUGCAAUAGCAUAAGCUUGCUUGACAGUGAGACAGACAAGUCGAGCUGGGUCGAAAGACGGAUAUAGUGAUCCGGUGGUUCUGCAUGGAAGGGCCAUCGCUCAAAGGAUAAAAGGUACGCUGGGGAUAACAGGCUGAUCUCCCCCAAGAGCUCAUAUCGACGGGGAGGUUUGGCACCUCGAUGUCGGCUCGUCACAUCCUGGGGCUGGAGAAGGUCCCAAGGGUUGAGCUGUUCGCUCAUUAAAGUGGCACGCGAGCUGGGUUCAGAACGUCGCGAGACAGUUCGGUCCCUAUCUGUUGUGGGCGUAGGAAGUUUGAGUGGGGCUGACCUUAGUACGAGAGGACCGGGUUGGACUAACCUCUGGUGAAUCUGUUAUGGCGCCAGCUGUAUUGCAGAGUAGCUACGUUGGGAAUAGAUAAGCGCUGAAAGCAUCUAAGUGCGAAACUAGCCACAAGAUGAGACUUCCAUUGAGGGUCGUAGGAGACUACUACGUUGAUAGGUUACAGGUCUAAAGGUGGUGACAUCAUAGCCGAGUAAUACUAAUUGCCCGAAGCUUUCUUCA
rnacentral:rRNA from 1 species